UGGUCCGUUGUAUUAUUCAGA
ensembl:piRNA 21ur-5521 ncRNA